CUGUGAUGGUGGAGCGACGAGUUUUCCAGCUGGCAUCUGGGAGUCCUUUCCUUGUCCACGCAGACUUUGCAUUUCAGACCAAGCUGCAUGUGCUGCUCGGCCUGGAGUACAUGAGCUGCGGGGACUUUUACACCUACCUACUGAUGAAGGACCAGCUUGACAUCCCCAGUGCAAGAUUCUAUGCCGCUGAACUCGUCUGUGGAAUCCAAUUCCUGCACUCAAAGGGCGUCAUCCACAGAGACCUGAAGCCCGAGAACAUCUUGGUGGCUGAAACGGGCCAUGUAAAGAUCACUGAUUUUGGUCU